rnacentral:lncRNA from 1 species
GGCAGUGACUCAGCUGUGGCCUGGGGUGGGGGUGACCAGGCUAUUUUGGGGGAAUGAAUAAGGAGGGGCAUUUGAUACCUGGAUGACCCUGCCUCUAAUCCUCUGAAUCCCCUUUCUCUAGGCUGGGCUGGUUUCUUGUGUGGAUGCCAUGUACACCAUCGUGUGGGGUCAGAGCCCUCUGAGAGGAGCCCAGCCUUCCUCCCUCCUCAUUCCCCUGUCUUCAUUCCAGAGAGAAGGGUUGGGGAAUUUCUGAAUAACCGCCCCCAGCUCCUCAAGAGGGCCCUAGUUUCCACACUAUUCUCUAGGUCCUUGUCCACUUCUGGACUCUUCCCUGUGACUCAGGGCCUAGACUCUCUGGGAAUGGAGAGGAGAGGAAUGUGGCACAAGGGAGCUGACUUCGGGGCUAUUUCUGACUCUGGAGUCAUCAGCUGCUCAGUCACAGACGAGGGUGGCAGUGAGGUAGGGGUAUCACAUUUGCCUCCUCUUUUGCUCCCUGGAAGAGCCUGAGGGACCUGGUGGGCUUCAGAGAUGCGGGCACUUGGACCGAGGGGGAGAUGGAAAAAAGAGACCACAUAGGAGACUGUACUGAUGCGUUUAUGACCGGAUGGUAGAAGACUGUGCCACCCCGAGAUGUGCCACUUCAGCACAAGGAUUACUUUGAGCUAAAGUCAAUUGGGAAGGAACACACAAGAUUUCUUUCUUCCCUCUUCCGGGAGGAAAAGCAGCGAAGACAUCGCCACACCCCUAUGGCCUGCAGAGGGCGCCAGAGGACUCUGACGACCUGUACCACUCGGAAGACACGCUCUUUUCCUGUCUUGUCACUACCCUUAUUGUUCUUUAUCCGUGUUGUCGGAGUUCUAAGCCACCUCUUUGAGAGUUACUGUCCCUAGGUUUUUCUCUCAUGUACGUUUGAAUGUAUAUGUUAA